CCUACGGUGGGCAGCAGUGAGGAAUAUUGGUCAAUGGACGAGAGUCUGAACCAGCCAAGUAGCGUGAAGGAUGACUGCCCUAUGGGUUGUAAACUUCUUUUAUAUGGGAAUAAAAUGUUCCACGUGUGGGAUUUUGUAUGUACCAUAUGAAUAAGGAUCGGCUAACUCCGUGCCAGCAGCCGCGGUAAUACGGAGGAUCCGAGCGUUAUCCGGAUUUAUUGGGUUUAAAGGGAGCGUAGGUGGAUUGUUAAGUCAGUUGUGAAAGUUUGCGGCUCAACCGUAAAAUUGCAGUUGAAACUGCAUCCCUUGAGUGCGCGAGAAGUAUGCGGAAUGCGUGGUGUAGCGGUGAAAUGCUUAGAUAUCACGAAGAACCCCGAUUGCGAAGGCAGCUUACUAAACUGUGACUGACAUUGAUGCUCGAAAGUGUGGGUAUCAAACAGGAUUAGAUACCCCUGUAGUC
rnacentral:rRNA from 1 species